CCUACGGGUGGCAGCAGUAGGGAAUCUUCCACAAUGGGCGAAAGCCUGAUGGAGCAACGCCGCGUGGGUGAAGAAGGUCUUCGGAUCGUAAAACCCUGUUGUUAGAGAAGAAAGUGCGUGAGAGUAACUGUUCACGUUUCGACGGUAUCUAACCAGAAAGCCACGGCUAACUACGUGCCAGCAGCCGCGGUAAUACGUAGGUGGCAAGCGUUAUCCGGAUUUAUUGGGCGUAAAGGGAACGCAGGCGGUCUUUUAAGUCUGAUGGGAAAGCCUUCGGCUUAACCGGAGUAGUGCAUUGGAAACGGGGAGACUUGAGUGCAGAAGUGGAGAUGGGAACUCCAUGUGUAGCGGUGAAAUGCGUAGAUAUAUGGAAGAACACCAGUGGCGAAAGCGGCUCUCUGGUCUGUAACUGACGCUGAGGUUCGAAAGCGUGGGUAGCAAACAGGAUUAGAUACCCGGGUAGUC
rnacentral:rRNA from 1 species